rnacentral:ncRNA from 1 species
UCAAACGCGUUGACCGGGUCCAGUAAGGGUUGGACAAACGCAUCCAGAGAGAAGCCGUCGCCGGCUGCAAGCGGCUUAUGCGUCCCAGUUCCUGAAAUUCCCCCGUGAGCGGUGCUGCUAAAUGGUUCAGUAGGCGGCGACGGCCCCUCCGUUACAGGGAUUGAGCGCCCGUAUCGUGAUACGGGAAUUAGGGUGGUAACGCGGAAUGAUGACUUCGUCCCUUUU